rnacentral:rRNA from 1 species
UACGUAGGGGGCAAGCGUUGUCCGGAGUUAUGGGCGUAAAGGCGCACGCGAGGUGGUCUUUUAAGUUUGGGAGUGAACAGUUGGGUGCUUAACUACGCCAAAGUGCUUCGUAAACCUGACAGGACUUGAGGGCUUCAGAGGACGACGGAAUUGCCGGGUGGAGGUGGAUUCGAAAUGGUCGUAGGAGAAUCCGGAGGAACACCAAAGGCGAAGGGCAGGAUGUCCCGUGGGGAGGUAAGCCUGGAC